AACGAACGCUGGCGGCAGGCUUAACACAUGCAAGUCGAACACCCCGCAAGGGGAGUGGCAGACGGGUGAGUAACGCGUGGGAAUCUACCCAGUUCUACGGAACAACUGAGGGAAACUUCAGCUAAUACCGUAUACGCCCUACGGGGGAAAGAUUUAUCGGAAUUGGAUGAGCCCGCGUAAGAUUAGCUAGUUGGUGGGGUAAUGGCCUACCAAGGCGACGAUCUUUAGCUGGUCUGAGAGGAUGAUCAGCCACACUGGGACUGAGACGCGGCCCAGACUCCUACGGGAGGCAGCAGUGGGGAAUAUUGGACAAUGGGCGCAAGCCUGAUCCAGCCAUGCCGCGUGAGCGAUGAAGGCCUUAGGGUUGUAAAGCUCUUUCAGUGGGGACGAUAGUGACGGUACCCACAGAAGAAGCCCCGGCUAACUUCGUGCCAGCAGCCGCGGUAACAC
rnacentral:rRNA from 1 species